rnacentral:misc_RNA from 1 species
CACAUUUCAGUAAUGUUUUUACAGUAGAAUUCUGUUUAUAUGAACCUGUCAUGGUACAAGUUGGUAGUUCAUAUAUAUAAGUCGUUUAUAUAAUAGAAGUCCACCUAUGUCUGUCCAUUACCUACGAUUUUUCGUUCAGUUAAUUGGAGUUCGUGUUCAUAUAAGGGGAUUCCAAGAAACAUUUGCUCUUAAACGCAUAAUAAUGUUGCAGAUUUGUAUCAAUUGCAAAGCGUGAGAGCGAGUGUCACAUCAUGCCUGAUCCUACUGUUUAUUGUUAAACGUUCAUACAAGUAGAGCGACCGCAACUACUGUAUUCCUGCUGACAUCUUUGCCAGAAUUCCGUCGAAUCGGUAAGAGCAGUAUCUGCAACCCUCGGUUGUUUAUUGUAACGUCAUCUCUUUGCAAACAGGUUUCAUGUAUUUCUUAUCAAAGACCAAAAUUCUGCCGAUAUUGCAGGGACCUUGUUCGCCUUCUCUGUAACACCGACGAAUAUAUCCAUAAAAUGGCCACGAAAUCUCGUUCUGAGAACAUUUCAUGGAAUGCCGUAGGUAUUCUGCUUGGUCGGGAAAGUAGAUGGAGUCCCGAUUCAGAUUAUUCUUGAUCAUACCGUUCGCAGGAUAGGCACGAACGCACGAAAUCCAGAAACUUAGAACUACGAUCGCUAGCAGCAAACGCAUCCUUAAUUAAUAAUUAACAAGCUAUACCGUUGUGCACUUCUCUGGAUCCUGAAAAAAUAAGAAGUGACUAAGAUAUUUUUCUGAUUAUUUUCUGUUAAAGAUAUACAUUGUUCGCCAUAAAUAUCGAGAUAUUUAGCCCUACGAAUUUAUUCAACAAAUUUUACUUUAUUUUAUAUUCUGCAUUAUAAAACAUAAAUGAUGCGGAUGUAACAAAAGAUGCAUAAUAA